rnacentral:rRNA from 1 species
GACGAACGCUGGCGGCGUGCUUAACACAUGCAAGUCGAACGGUGAAGGUCCAGAUUGCUCUAGUAUAUAAGUGGCUAACGAACGGGUAACUAGCGCGCAACCUACCUGUGACUCUGGAAUAAACACUAGAAACGGCGGCUAAUAAUGGCUGCGAACAGGGUCCGCAUGGGCUCUUUCUUGGAAGUUAUUCGGUUUGGGCAGGGCUCGUGGCCUAUCAGCUUGUGGGUGAGGCAAUGGCUCACCAAGGCGACGACGGGGAGCCGGCCUGAGAGGGAGACAAGCCCCAGUGGCACUCAGACGCCGGCCAGACUCCUACGGGAGGAAGCAGCGAGGAAUUUUGCAAAAUGGGCGAAAGCCUGAUGCAGCGACGCCGCGUGAGGGAUGACGGCCUUCCGGUUGUAAACCUCUUUCAGCAGGGAAGAAGAGAAAGUGACGGUACCUGAAUAAGAAGCACCGGCUAACUACGUG